rnacentral:lncRNA from 1 species
CACAAGUCUGGUAGGACUCAGAUAAAUCACCUAUUUUAAUGCACACGGUAUUGAAACGCACACACACACACACACACACAAACACACACACACACACACACACACACACACGUACACACACUCCCAGACAGUGACAUCAGAGAAGGGUGCAUUAGAAAACAAACGUUUCUCUGAGGUGAGGACAGUGUGUGUGGUUCUGAGGUGAGGACAGUGUGUGUGGUUCUGAGGUGAGGACAGUGUGUGUGGUUCUGAGGUGAGGACAGUGUGUGUGGUUCUGAGGUGAGGACAGUGUGUGUGGUUCUGAGGAGAGGACGGUGUGUGUGGUUCUGAGGCGAGGACGGUGUGGUUCUGAGACGAGGACGGUGUGUGUGUGGUUCUGAGGCGAGGACGGUGUGGUUCUGAGACGAGGACGGUGUGUGUGUGGUUCUGAGGCGAGGACAGUGUGGUUCUGAGACGAGGACGGUGUGUGUGUGGUUCUGAGGUGAGGACGGUGUGUGUGGUUCUGAGGCGAGGACGGUGUGUGUGUGGUUCUGAGGUGAGGACGGUGUGGUUCUGAGGUGAGGACGGUGUGUGUGGUUCUGAGGCGAGGACGGUGUGUGUGUGGUUCUGAGGUGAGGACGGUGUGGUUCUGAGACGAGGACGGUGUGU